rnacentral:misc_RNA from 1 species
GAUGAAGAACGUAGCAAAUGCGAUAAGUAGUGUGAAUUGCAGAAUUCAGUGAAUCAUCGAAUCUUUGAACGCACAUUGCGCCCCAUGGUAUUCCGUGGGGCAUGCCUGUUCGAGCGUCAUUUACCCCCUCAAGCUCCGCUUGGUGUUGGGCGUCUGUCCCGCUUCGCGCGCGGACUCGCCCCAAAGGUAUUGGCAGCGGUCGUGCCAGCUUCUCGCGCAGCACAUUGCGCUUCUCGAGGCACCGGUGGGCCCGCGUCCAUCAAGCUCACCCCCCCAGUUUGACCUCGGAUCAGGUAGGGAUACCCGCUGAACUUAAGCAUAUCAAUAAGCGGAGGA